AAAAAGAGGUGGGAAUGUGGCCUGAGGUGGCAGUGUGCGUGCAAUGGGUACAGUGUGGGAGGCACACGUGGGCCGAGCGUGACAGCGUGUGUGUGUGUGUGUGUGUACAUGCACCGUGGAGUGCAAAGCAAGCGUGUGCAUCUGCCCCGACACUCCCCCCCGCCGAAAAAAAAAAAAAGAAACUUGGCUCCAGUUA